rnacentral:rRNA from 1 species
AGAGUUUGAUCAUGGCUCAGAAUCAACGCUGGCGGCGUGCCUAACACAUGCAAGUCGAGCGAGAAAAGGGGAGCAAUCCUCUGAGUAAAGCGGCGCACGGGUGAGUAACACGUGGGUAAUCUGCCCUGAAGUGGGGAAUAACACCGGGAAACCGGUGCUAAUACCGCAUAUGAUCACGGUGUCUGCGGACACAGGGAUGAAAGGAGCAAUUCGCUUCAGGAGGAGCCCGCGGCUGAUUAGCUAGUUGGUGAGGUAAUGGCCCACCAAGGCUACGAUCAGUAUCCGGUCUGAGAGGACGGUCGGACACACUGGAACUGAGACACGGUCCAGACUCCUACGGGAGGCAGCAGUGGGGAAUUUUUCGCAAUGGGGGCAACCCUGACGAAGCAACGCCGCGUGGAUGAUGAAGUAUCUCGGUACGUAAAAUCCUUUCGACAGGGAAGAAACCGCAAGGUUGACGGUACCUGUAGAAGAAGCCCCGGCUAACUCCGUGCCAGCAGCCGCGGUAAUACGGGGGGGCUAGCGUUGUUCGGAAUUACUGGGCGUAAAGGGCGCGUAGGCGGUCUGCUAAGUUGGAUGUGAAAACUCUGGGCUUAACCCAGAGCCUGCAUUCAAUACUGACAGGCUAGAGUUCUGGAGGGGAUAGCGGAAUUCCUGGUGUAGCGGUGAAAUGCGUAGAUAUCAGGAGGAACACCGGUGGCGAAGGCGGCUAUCUGGACAGAGUCUGACGCUGAGGCGCGAAAGCUAGGGGAGCAAACAGGAUUAGAUACCCUAGUAGUCC